UGCCACAUCAAAGUAGAUUGGGAAACUCUUCAAAUCAUUAUGAAAUGCCGAGACAAGCUUGGUCUUCCAAUGGCGGGCCCCAAGUUACCCUUAAUGGGAUACUGCGCGUAUUAUCUGCGCCAGGCGGAUUACAAAAGAAGACGAGCACUCAAACCCUGUCAUAUCGGAGUUUCAUCGCAUCCUUUGAUGUGGCUUUUUUA
rfam:Prevotella sp. CAG:873 genomic scaffold, scf375